rnacentral:lncRNA from 1 species
CCUCCUCUUCCUCUAGAUCAGCGUCAAUCCCUAUGUCUUAGAUAUCGAGGUCUGGAUGGAGGCAUCCAAUCUGCUUCUUGGAUAAGUCAAAACCCUCGCCAAAGUAUCUGAAAGCUGCUAGCUCAACAACUUCGUGGAAGUCAUCCGAGGACUUGUAUUCCUCGAUGACUGACUCCUUGGCGACGACUGACUACUUCUUUAGCUCAGCUAUCUCCUUUUCGAGCCUAGCCAUGGUGGCAUCGUUAUCCUCCUUCAUUCUCUUCAACUCUUCAACUUUCCAAUGGCAUGCCGCUUCUAGGCCCUGAGAUCGACCACUUGUUUCUCCAACUUUGCGGCCACUUGCUGAGCACGGGUCAUCUCGAUUUUGACCAAGGCAGCACGGGCCUGUUGGGUCAUCGCUUCUUCUCUCAUUUGCCUACCACGUCUGAUGAGGGAAGACUCGAGCACCACCGCCUAAAAAAGAAAGAGUGAAUUCUUCAGAGAAAUGAAAAUGCAAAAGUAUUAAACUUAAAUAUAAAAAUAAAUAAUUACCUGACCGACAACAUGGAAGAACUGUGAGAUUGCUCGAUUGAGGUCCAAUCUCCCCACCUCAUCCUUGUCGGCAAGCGAGAUUACCCCCUUAAAGAGUUUCUCCUCCACGACGGGAGGGAUUCCCCAGCAUGGAGACCUUGAUCCCCAAAACAACGCCAGGGUGGCCAUGGUUCCCUCCCCAGGAGCUACAAUAGGUAAAGCCCCCUUGCUCGUCGCCUUGCUUGAUGAUGCCCUAGGCUUGGCUAAGGCCUUGGUAGAGGACCCCUUUUUUUGUCCUCUAUUAGCGGCAUAACCCCCUUCUUUUUAGAGUUAGCUGAUGAUUUGCCCUUCUUCAAGGGCAAGAUGUUGGGCUUCUCGUCCUUUGGGCGUUUCUCGCCAAUGACGAUCUCCUUUGAUGCUGGGGUCGUGCUCUUCGGCUUUGCUCCUUACGCCCUUUGGGCAAGCUUCUUGAGGCUGAUUCUUUUUGAUAUAGCUGCAAAAGAAAACUAAUGUCAGUUAAUGGAAAAGGUAAAAUACUUGAAGAAGAAAGAAGGCAGUACCAUCUGAUUUGAGCUCGGGGGCAACCAUGGUUCUAACCAGGCCUCCGACUAGAGCUCGAGCUUGAGCUUGAGCUACUUGGUUCCCAACUAAGGAAAGAGGGUCGAAGAUUUGCCCCAAGAAGUGUUAGCAGUAUCCUAUCAGGAAGACACGAUAAAACUCUUAUAUGCCUCUUCCUGAUGAUCCCUAGGUAUUCUACUGAGUCAUCUCGGGAAUUGUCACCUUGGCGAGGAUUGUCUCGGGAAUGAUGGGACUCACCCUCAUCGCCCGUAACUAGAGCUGCAUUGCCUACCUUUAUAUCCUCGGCACUGUCCAUGCCACUGGACGCCAUUGAUUUGGAGGCGAGUCCGAAGCUCCUAAGGAAGGACUUAGUGUCGAGAACUUCCUUGAUUGUAAAGAAGUCCCCUCCAUUAGUGAGUCCAAGAUCCCACUUAUUAGUCAGUCCUAGACAAGACAAGCGGUUUGUUGUCGCGCUUACCUAAAAAUGGUAGAACACUUAUUAGUCAAGGGAAAAGUGCGACACUUGAUAACUAAAAGAACGACUUAAUGGAUAAAGAUUGACCUGGGGUGCCCUACAACCUCGAGAUCCUUGGACCCCCAGCGUACCUAGAGAUCCCCGGGGAGAACUCCCAGUCCUCUCCUGAGAUGAAAAAGAUUUUCUUCUUCCAUCCCUUGACAUUUCUAGGGUACCCCCGAGUAGAGCCAUCUAGAGUCUAGCUUCGGGGUUUUAUACAGGCUGAACAGGCUCUUGAACUCGUUGAGGAAAAGGGCGAAGUUAUGAGCUUGCCAUAGUACCAUCAUGUAGAUGACACUUUGCCACGCAUUGGGAAUGAGCUCGGCAAGGCAGAUGUUAUAGAAGUACAAGAUCUUCCUAAUAGUGGGAUGGAUUGGAAGACAAAGACUGGCUUGAAAAGUGGCCUCAUAAAAGGCCAUCCCGCCCAGGUGAGUAGACUCUAUGGUCUCGUCCACCUCGAGUAACCUGAUGUGAAUGCCUAACGGAAUGGAACAUGACUCUAAGGCGAUGCAGCUCGUCUUGAGUCAUGGUAUUAGUUUCUCUCUCAAUUUGAGGUGGAGUAACAGGUGAGGGACUACCCUCAGGACUAGGGUUCCUCCCUAGGGGAGGAAGGAAGUGUAUUAACCUCGUCGGUCAUAUAUGACUUUUCUCCUAGGUGAUCGAAAAUCUAGGAGGGUAGAAAGUUUUCUAAAUUUUCUACGUCGCCGUUACCGGACAUAAAAUACAGACUAAAGAUUAAAAGUGGAUGGCUAAUACUUACUGAAUGACUUAGAUGAUGGCGAGAUGGCAAGCUGACAAGGGCGAGGUUCACGUUGGAGCGAAAGCAACACUUCAUUAUCACUGGCAAUAGAAGAGUACGCUGUGUGGUAGAACCCAUAUUUUAUAGAGGGCACCAAGGGCUGAGAUCUAUUUGUUUCA